AGAAUCAACACUGGCGGCGUGCCUAACACAUGCAAGUCGAACGAGAAAGUGGAGCAAUCCAUGAGUAAAGUGGCGCACGGGUGAGUAACACGUGACUAACCUACCUUUUAGUGGGGGAUAACCUAGGGAAACCUGGGCUAAUACCGCAUAACACUUACGAGCCAAAGCAGCAAUGCGCUGAAAGAGGGGGUCGCGGCCGAUUAGCUAGUUGGCGGGGUAAUGGCCCACCAAGGCAGUGAUCGGUA
rnacentral:rRNA from 1 species